rnacentral:rRNA from 1 species
GAUGAACGCUGGCGGCGUGCCUAAUACAUGCAAGUCGAGCGAAUGGAUUAAGAGCUUGCUCUUAUGAAGUUAGCGGCGGACGGGUGAGUAACACGUGGGUAACCUGCCCAUAAGACUGGGAUAACUCCGGGAAACCGGGGCUAAUACCGGAUAACAUUUUGAACCGCAUGGUUCGAAAUUGAAAGGCGGCUUAGGCUGUCACUUAUGGAUGGACCCGCGUGGCAUUAGCUAGUUGGUGAGGUAACGGCUCGCCAAGGCAACGAUGCGUAGCCGACCUGAGAGGGUGAUCGGCCACACUGGGACUGAGACACGGCCCAGACUCCUACGGGAGGCAGCAGUAGGGAAUCUUCCGCAAUGGACGAAAGUCUGACGGAGCAACGCCGCGUGAGUGAUGAAGGCUUUCGGGUCGUAAAACUCUGUUGUUAGGGAAGAACAAGUGCUAGUUGAAUAAGCUGGCACCUUGACGGUACCUAACCAGAAAGCCACGGCUAACUACGUGCCAGCAGCAGCCGCCG